GAGGAUUUAAUGUUAUUGCUGUUGCUAGAGAAAAAAGUGGUAUUAAAGGGAAGAAUAGUAAAGAUGAUACCUUGGAACAGUUAAAUGGAGCUAAUGUGUGUUUUUCUGAUGUUACCAAUUUGGAGACUUUGGAGAAAAGUGUACAAGGUUUAGGGGUUUCAAUUGAUGUUGUUGUGUCUUGUCUUGCUAGUCGAAAUGGUGGGGUAAAAGAUUCUUGGAAUAUCGAUUAUGAGGC
rnacentral:misc_RNA from 1 species